CCUUCGGGGGGCAGCAGUAGGGAAUUUUSCCCAAUGGGCGCAAGUCUGAUGGAGCAACGCCGCGUGAGUGAAGAAGGGUUUCGGCUCGUAAAACUCUGUUGUUAAAGAAGAACGUCUCUGAGAGUAACUGUUCAGGUGUUGACGGUAUUUAACCAGAAAGCCACGGCUAACUACGUGCCAGCAGCCGCGGUAAUACGUAGGUGGCAAGCGUUGUCCGGAUUUAUUGGGCGUAAAGCGAGCGCAGGCGGUUUUUUAAGUUUGAUGUGAAAGCCUUCGGCUCAACCGAAGAAGUGCAUUGGAAACUGGGAAACUUGAGUGUAGAAGAGGACAGUGGAACUCCCUGUGUAGCGGUGAAAUGCGUAGAUAUUUGGAAGAACACCAGUGGCGAAGGCGGCUGUCUGGUCUGUAACUGACGCUGAGGCUCGAAAGUAUGGGUAGCAAACAGGAUUAGAUACCCUGGUAGUCCAUGCCGUAAACGAUGAUUGCUAAGUGUUGGAGGGCUUCCGCCCUUCAGUGCUGCAGCUAACGCAUUAAGCAUUCCCCCUGGGGAGUACGGCCGCAAGGUUGAAACUCAAAGGAUUUGACGG
rnacentral:rRNA from 1 species